rnacentral:rRNA from 1 species
AGCAGCCGCGGUAAUUCCAGCUCCAAUAGCGUAUAUUAAAGUUGUUGCAGUUAAAAAGCUCGUAGUUGAAUUUCGGGAUCAAUAUAACGGUCAUGCCGUUGGUAUGCACUGUUAUAAUUGAUUUCUCACCUUCUAAAGAACCGUAAUGCCAUUAAUUUGGUGUCACGGGGAAUUAGGACUGUUACCUUGAAAAAUUAGAGUGUUUAAAGCAGGCUCACGCUUGAAUACAUUAGCAUGGAAUAAUGAAAUAGGACAUCCGAUUCUAUUUUGUUGGUUUCUAGGAUCGAUGUAAUGAUUAAUAGGGAUAGUUGGGGGCAUUAGUAUUCAAUUGUUAGAGUGAAAUUCUUGGAUUUAUGAAGACUAACUACUGCGAAGCAUUUGCCAAGG